UACGGAGGGUGCAAGCGUUAAUCGGAAUUACUGGGCGUAAAGCGUGCGCAGGCGGUUUGUUAAGUCUGCUGUGAAAUCCCCGAGCUCAACUUGGGAAUUGCAGUGGAUACUGGCAAGCUGGAGUACGGUAGAGGAAGGUGGAAUUCCCGGUGUAGCAGUGAAAUGCGUAGAGAUCGGGAGGAACACCAGUGGCGAAGGCGGCCUUCUGGACCAGUACUGACGCUCAUGCACGAAAGCCAGGGGAGCAAACGGG
rnacentral:rRNA from 1 species